GAUGAAGAACGCAGCGAAAUGCAAUAAGUAAUGUGAAUUGCAGAAUCCAGUGAAUCAUCGAAUCUUUGAACGCACAUUGCGCCCGCCAGCAUUCUGGCGGGCAUGCCUGUUCGAGCGUCAUUUCAACCCUCGACCUCCCUUUGGGGAAGUCGGCGUUGGGGACCGGCAGCACACCGCCGGCCCUGAAAUGGAGUGGCGGCCCGUCCGCGGCGACCUCUGCGUAGUAAACCAACUCGCACCGGAACCCCGACGUGGCCACGCCGUAAAACACCCAACUUCUGAACGUUGACCUCGAAUCAGGUAGGACUACCCGCUGAACUUAAGCAUAUCAAUAAGCGGAGGA
rnacentral:misc_RNA from 1 species